rnacentral:sRNA from 1 species
GCCUACUUGAGAAAAGCAUUCCAUGAACAGCGCUUACCACUACGCCCAUUCCACCCCCCUGCUUCCUCCGGUGCAGAUGUGGUCUGGUUAGAAAAAGAAACAAAUCCGGAGUGCCUAUUUCCUGUUUGGCGAUUGGCACGGGGCCCGAUAGGUUCUCCCGGUCCUGUGAGUUGCGACUAACCGUGAAAUAGGUAUCAAAAAGGGUCGUUUUAAUUAAUAAAACGAAAAAGGAAUUUUUUGAGGGAAGUAGUAACGUUAGAUGCAGAUCAUCAUUGAUUAGCCUCUUGCCACCUUCAAAGAGGGCUGGCUCUAUAUUAUGCAGUCUAUUGUGGGAUAUCUAAGUUUCACAAUCACUUCCGAGAGCAACUACUGUUGUUGCGCGUUUCGAAAAUGAUUUUUCGUUCAAAUGGAUGAUAAACAAAAAUGAAAAGAGGAAAUCAAAGGAAAAGGAAAAAAAAAAAAUUAAAAAAAAAAUGCAAGGUACAGAGAGAGAGAAAGUGAUGAGUAGGAUAUAAAAACAAACUCAUGAGGUGGUGGGUCCCUUUGCCUUCGCCCCUUUAGGGACACGUGUGAGCCAAUAAAUGAACACAGCCCCGACAAUAUUAAACACAAUAUACACCCACAUAAAACCAAAAUUCCGCCAUGCGUCAGAGUAAUAGCUACCAAUACUCGCAAGGAAGGUAUCAGUAUUUUGCAUGAUACAGAAGCCACAGUCUGAGGUUGCAAGGGGAUUCUCCAGGUAUCCUUUGGGAGGGUAUGAUUCCCUGAAUGCUGCCAGGUAUUGUUCGCAGGUCUGGUUAGCGAUCGGGUUGAAAUGGAGGAACUCGACCGGUUCGCAGACAAUGUCAGCGCCCGCGAAGCCUGUGGAAAGCAUGGCGGAGAUAAGAUAAGUGAAGGGCGAAAUACGGUAGAGGAAAACCCAGAAACCCGGGAGGGCUUCUUUGGUUGCGAGAACACCGCAGAAGACCAGACAGAGCAUGAAGAGGAGGUUGGCAAGGUUGGCACCAGUCUCGGCGACCUCAACACCUGCGAUGACAAGGUGGGCGAAUGUGGACGCGAAGAGAAGGAAGGCGAGAACUAGCAAGAACAUGAGACCACCGCGUUCAUGGAUCUGGUCACUGGGGAUGGCAUUGUAUAGUCCGAUGGGAUAGUACCAGCAGGCGAAAACGAUGACAGCCAUGAGCGUGUUCCAUGGAAGCUCGACGGAUAUAUUAGCUAUCAUGAAUGCUUUCCAUGAGUAUGAUUUGGACGGGCGCUCGCGAGCCUCGUAGAGUGCACGUGCAGCAACAAAAUUAGGCACAAUUUGUUGGGUCAAGUUGCCAAGGAUGGUCAUCAACAUGAAAACAGCAAACAUCUGGUUUUGGAGGCCUUGUAGACUGGUUUGUGCAUUGAAAAAAGAGAAGCCUACGAAAAGGGCAGAGAGGCUACACAAGGCGGUUUUUGAGUAUAUAUAUACUGGAGAGCGCCAGUACUGUGAGAAAACUCGGAUUAAACACUCCCAGACCUGGACACUGAAAGGCGCAGCGAAUUCACAAUAAUCUUCCGGGCUGCGAUUGGCUAGUUCAGUUUUUCCUUUUUCAGAGAGGGUGGAUUUGAGCUCAUCGAGGUGCGCAUGUACUGCCUUUCGCUCAGGACUAUUACGCCAUACCUCAGGCCAAUCGAUGUCACUCUUAGACCCUGGGGCAGCGCCGAUGACUUCCAAUAUCCAUUCGGCAGGGUUGGCAUCUGGUGGGCAGGGAGAAGCACCAUUCCUUUCAAAAUAGCUCGACAAGAUCGAAGAGCGCUCGCCAACGUCACCAAAAUAUACUGUCUUUCCACCACUGGCAAGGAAGAGCAGGCGAUCAAAACGUUGGAAAAGCAUAGCGGACGGUUGAUGGAUUGUGCAAAGAAUUGCUUGGCCAUGUUUGGUAAGCGUGUCAAGGAGAUUCAAGAUAGACCAGGAAGUUUGACUGUCAAGCCCCG